rnacentral:rRNA from 1 species
UGCUGGAGGUAUCAGAAGUGCGAAUGCUGACAUAAGUAACGAUAAAGCGGGUGAAAAGCCCGCUCGCCGGAAGACCAAGGGUUCCUGUCCAACGUUAAUCGGGGCAGGGUGAGUCGACCCCUAAGGCGAGGCCGAAAGGCGUAGUCGAUGGGAAACGGGUUAAUAUUCCCGUACUUGGUGUUACUGCGAAGGGGGGACGGAGAAGGCUAUGUUGGCCGGGCGACGGUUGUCCCGGUUUAAGCGUGUAGGUGUGUGUUCCAGGUAAAUCCGGUUCACUUUAACACUGAGGCGUGAUGACGAGGCACUACGGUGCUGAAGCAACAAAUGCCCUGCUUCCAGGAAAAGCCUCUAAGCAUCAGGUAACAUCAAAUCGUACCCCAAACCGACACAGGUGGUCAGGUAGAGAAUACCAAGGCGCUUGAGAGAACUCGGGUGAAGGAACUAGGCAAAAUGGUGCCGUAACUUCGGGAGAAGGCACGCUGACAUGUAGGUGAAGUGAUUUACUCAUGGAGCUGAAGUCAGUCGAAGAUACCAGCUGGCUGCAACUGUUUAUUAAAAACACAGCACUGUGCAAACACGAAAGUGGACGUAUACGGUGUGACGCCUGCCCGGUGCCGGAAGGUUAAUUGAUGGGGUCAGCGCAAGCGAAGCUCCUGAUCGAAGCCCCGGUAAACGGCGGCCGUAACUAUAACGGUCCUAAGGUAGCGAAAUUCCUUGUCGGGUAAGUUCCGACCUGCACGAAUGGCGUAAUGAUGGCCAGGCUGUCUCCACCCGAGACUCAGUGAAAUUGAACUCGCUGUGAAGAUGCAGUGUACCCGCGGCAAGACGGAAAGACCCCGUGAACCUUUACUAUAGCUUGACACUGAACAUUGAGCCUUGAUGUGUAGGAUAGGUGGGAGGCUUUGAAGUGUGGACGCCAGUCUGCAUGGAGCCGACCUUGAAAUACCACCCUUUAAUGUUUGAUGUUCUAACGUGGACCCGUAAUCCGGGUUGCGGACAGUGUCUGGUGGGUAGUUUGACUGGGGCGGUCUCCUCCUAAAGAGUAACGGAGGAGCACGAAGGUUGGCUAAUCCUGGUCGGACAUCAGGAGGUUAGUGCAAUGGCAUAAGCCAGCUUGACUGCGAGCGUGACGGCGCGAGCAGGUGCGAAAGCAGGUCAUAGUGAUCCGGUGGUUCUGAAUGGAAGGGCCAUCGCUCAACGGAUAAAAGGUACUCCGGGGAUAACAGGCUGAUACCGCCCAAGAGUUCAUAUCGACGGCGGUGUUUGGCACCUCGAUGUCGGCUCAUCACAUCCUGGGGCUGAAGUAGGUCCCAAGGGUAUGGCUGUUCGCCAUUUAAAGUGGUACGCGAGCUGGGUUUAGAACGUCGUGAGACAGUUCGGUCCCUAUCUGCCGUGGGCGCUGGAGAACUGAGGGGGGCUGCUCCUAGUACGAGAGGACCGGAGUGGACGCAUCACUGGUGUUCGGGUUGUCAUGCCAAUGGCACUGCCCGGUAGCUAAAUGCGGAAGAGAUAAGUGCUGAAAGCAUCUAAGCACGAAACUUGCCCCGAGAUGAGUUCUCCCUGAGACUU